rnacentral:rRNA from 1 species
UACGUAGGCAGCGAGCGUUGUUCGGAAUUACUGGGCGUAAAGAGUGUGUAGGCGGUGCUCUAAGUUCGGUGUGAAAUCUCCCGGCUUAACUGGGAGGGUGCAUUAGAAACUGGAAUGCUAGAGGAUGGGAGAGGUAAGCGGAAUUCCUGGUGUAGCGGUGAAAUGCGUAGAUAUCAGGAGGAACACCGGUGGUGUAGACGGCUCUCUGGACCGUAACUGACGCUGAGGCACGAAAGCGUGGGUAGCAAACAGG